GACGAACGCUGGCGGCGUGCCUAAUACAUGCAAGUCGACCUUAGUGGCGAACGGGUGAGUAACACGUGGGUAACCUGCCCAUCAGAAGGGGAUAACACUUGGAAACCGGUGCUAAUACCGUAUCACGAUGGAGGGACCCGCGGUGCAUUAGCUAGUUGGUGAGGUAACGGCUCACCAAGGCCACGGUGCAUAGCCGACCUGAGAGUGGAAUCGGCCACAUUGGGACGGCGCCACGGCCCAAACUCCUACGGGAGGCAGCAGUAGGGAAUCUUCGGCAAGGGACGAAAGUCUGACCGAGCAACGCCGCUUGAGUGAAGAGGGUUUUCGGAUCGUAAGCCUCUGUCGUUAGAGAAGCGGUAUCUAACCAGAAAGCCACGGCUAACUACGUGCCAGCAGCCGCGGUAAUUC
rnacentral:rRNA from 1 species